ensembl:lncRNA
GAACUACUUAAAAUAAAUGACAGCUGCAUACAUUUGCUCAGCCCCCUCUCCAUCUCCUCCUCUGUUCUGUUCUUCCAGUGCCAUUUCCUCUUUUAAUUAUCCCCAAGCAAAAAGAUGGAGCACAUCAGACGCAUCGGUAAAUCCCGGUUCUGGCUCGAGCUCAUAGCAGUUCCUGCGUCCGCGUCUGGCAAUUCCGAUAGAGAGCGCGCGCUGGCAGUGACAGAGAGAGAGAAUCCGCCUGGAGAUUUUUUUACGGAAGAAUGGGGAGGAUGAUCUCUCAGCAAAACAGGUCUUCGCUCUCUUUCCCGACGUGGGCGGCUUUGGCUAGCACUGUCUGAUCACGCUGCGUUUUCAACACCAGAUUAGCGAAUUCUGAAGAGAAGACUCCAUCAAAUUCAUACAGACCCCUUGUUUACACCUCAGCAGAGUCAGCACGGACUGUCCUGGGGCUCUGUGGGUUCUGUUUGUGAACAGAUUCCCAGAACCAUCUUGCUGAGAGGACCCUUCUCUAGGACAAUGAUCCAACACACCUCCAGGCUGUGUAAGGACUAUUUGACCAAGAAGGAGAGUGAUGGAGUGCUGCAUCAGAUGACCUGGCCUCCAAAAUCACCCGACCUCAACCCAAUUGAGAAGGGAUGAGUCAGACUGCAGAGUGAAGGAAAAGCGGCCAACAAGACUGUUGGAAAAGCAUUCCUCGUGAAGCUGGUUGAGAGAAUACCAAGAGUGUGUAAAGCUGUCAUCUAGGCAAAGGGUGGCUACUUUGAAGAAUCUAAAAUACAUUUUGAUUUGUUUAACUUUUUUGGUUACUACAUGAUUCCAUAGGUGUUAUUUCAUAGUUUUGAUGUCUUCACUAUUGUUCUACAAUGUAGAAAUUAAUAGAAAUAAAUAAUAACCCUUGAAUGAGUAGGCGUGCCCAAA